AUACGUAGGGUGCGAGCGUUAAUCGGAAUUACUGGGCGUAAAGCGUGCGCAGGCGGUUUCGUAAGACAGAUGUGAAAUCCCCGGGCUUAACCUGGGAACUGCGUUUGUGACUGCGAGACUCGAGUGUGGCAGAGGGGGGUGGAAUUCCACGUGUAGCAGUGAAAUGCGUAGAGAUGUGGAGGAACACCGAUGGCGAAGGCAGCCCCCUGGGUUAACACUGACGCUCAUGCACGAAAGCGUGGGGAGC
rnacentral:rRNA from 1 species